AGAAUCAACUUAAAGAAGAAGGACAGUCCCCACAGGGGUUUAAGUGCCAACCAAAACUGACGUGGGAAGUGGAAAGGGCUGUGGUUAGGAAGACGAAGAACACGUGCAGCAUCCGCAGGCUGUAGAUGGGGUGAAGAGAGACUGGCAGGGGUUUGAGGAAAGGAAAAGGGUGAAUGAUAAAGCUCUUUAGCAUCCUCUGACCUCGGAGAGCCCUGCUACUGGCUGAGGUUCACCAGAGGUGUGACCACUCAGCCUGCCGUGCCUGCAUUCUGAGCUGGAUUUGAGAAGCUCCACAUACCGCAACUUAUCUUCCCAUCAGGCCCUGAAGAAAGGGCUCAAGUUUCCCUUCCAAACCAGGCCUUUCCCAAACCCAGAGGCCCAGGAUUGGGGGGGGCAGCACCCCCUAAAGUGUCAGUACUGUGGGGGCUGUGCACGCAGCAUGGGGCCCAGCCAGGGAGAAUGAGCUGGUAGGCCACUGUGAGAACCACAGGGAAGAAGGAGCCGGGAGGACCACACGCUUAAUCAAAACCAGCUUUGUGCUUACACGCUGCCCAGGGGGAUAAAAAUAAUAGUAAUAAAAGUUUAAGAGCA
rnacentral:lncRNA from 1 species